AUAGGAAGUUUAGUUUCGUCAUGAACAAAGCUUAGAAAGAUGGCUCUGCUAUCACUUAUCGAUGGCCUUGCGGUGCAUUAACUAGUUGGCGAGGUAACGGCUCACCAAGGUGAUGAUGCAUAGCCCGACCCCUGAGAGGGUAAUCGGCCACAUUGGGACUGAGACACGGCCCAAACUCCUACGGGAGGCAGCAGUAGGGAAUCUUCCGCAAUGGACGCAAGUCUGACGGAGCAACGCCGCGUGAGUGAAGAAGGUUUUCGGAUCGUAAAACUCUGUUGUAAGAGAAGAACAAAUUGUAGAGUAACUGCUACAGUCUUGACGGUAUCUUACCAGAAAGCCACGGCUAACUACGUGCCAGCAGCCGCGGUAAU
rnacentral:rRNA from 1 species